CAUAAAUUGUUGGACUCAAUACUGAAGUAAUUUUUAAUUAUAAAGAAGCUGCAAGUGAUAUUGAUCAAAGCCUAUAUUAAUCAUCUUGUCUAUAUUCAUAAACUUCAUUUUUUUGACUAAAAAAUUUUUAAAAAUUAUGCCUGAGAAACUUUUGAAUGUGAGAAGGCGCUAGCGCUUUCAGUGACUGUGAGUCUUGUCAUUGACAAUGUAGAAAGAUUGAAGCGAGUCUGUGAGUGUGCAAAUAAUUAUGUGUGAUAUGUAUGUGAUGGUGUAUAUAAUUUGUAUGCAGAAAAUUUUUGAAUAUGAGUGAAAAAAUGAGCACAUGAGGAAAAAGAAAAAAUGAAAAGCAAUUGAGUGAAAGAAUAUACUUUUGUUUACGAUAAUAUAUCUUAUGCAUUAAGAGAUAUAUAAAGGAGAUAUAAUCGGAUUUUUUCAAUGUAGCGAAACGUCAUUCGCAAAUACAUAUAUGUCAUAAAGUUUAUCGAUGAUUUUACCAAGUUGUGUACAAAGUUGUAAUGAUAUGUAUUUAGAUGAUAAUAUUAUUAUGUACACACUUAUACAGAAACGCGUACAUGAGAUGAAAAACUGAUAUUGUUCAUGCUCUGAAGAGUAAUCAUCAAAGACUAUGAAAUUGUUCAAUUAGUUUAUACUAUUUUUAUUUCUAACUUGAUUUUCUCAUGAAAACUAAAAUUCGUAGUUUGCCAAUAAUAAUAGUCAUAAUACUUUUAUUUUUUAUGUAUAUCAAUUUUUCUUCGAAUGCUGUAAAUUAAUAUAUCAAUGCCACAAAAUGUAUUUUAGUGAAAAAUUUACAGAGGAAUUAUUUUUUUUCUCAUUGUAUUCUGUUAUUUAAACAAAAUUUAAGUAAAUUAUUUGAAUUUUUUAUGAUAUUGCCAUUGAAAUAAUUAUAAAAAUUAUUGACAUUAUUUACAUAAUUGAAUCCUCAAUAUUUUAGUACAUAUAAAAUUAUAAUUAAUGGUAUGAAAAUUGAGGGGAUCAAUUGACUUAUAAAAAUAAAACAAGGUUAACUGUGAUGAUAAAAUUAUUCUACACGUACUAUUGAUUAUUAACGGAUCAUUCAGAUUAUUCAAAACUCAAAUUAAAUAUACACAUAUUGAUGUAUAAUAUUUACAUAUCUAUACGAUUGAUUGAUAUAACAAAUUCCACAUUGAAUAGUACGAUAUGAAUAUGAUUAAUUAAUAUGUUAAUUAAAGAAAUAUUUUUUGUGGCAAUCAAUUUGGCCAUUUAUUCUGCAAAUUUGUUAAAAAAAAAUUGUUAUAAAUAUGACAAAUAACUUAUUUAAAAGUACUCAAGUACUGUAUAAUUGUUUUAAAAUAAAUUGUCGAUAAACAUUCGAGGAAUAAUUGUUAUAAGUAAACGUAAGAUAUUCAGUUGCAAUUAUAGAAUUUUUUUUUCUUAUAUUUUUGUCACUGGGUUCAUUUUAUUUUUUAAAUUUUCCGAAUAAACGUAGAGUGAUUCUGUUGUGCAAGUAUUAUAUAAUGAAUAAAAUAAAUCUAUAAAUCAUAUUUGAUGUCGUGUACAAUUGCAAAAUGAUUUGUGGAUUAUAAAACAAAGAAUGAAUAUGAAAAUAAAUAACAGAAAAUCAAUGAUCAAAUAAUUACAUCUAAUAACACACACAUGAGUAAUUAGUAAUUUCUAAUUUAAUGGGAAAAUACAUGUAAUUGAAUGACAAUACAAUGUGUGAGUAAAAAGAUGUAAUUUUAUAAUAAAAUACCAAAUCCAGUAGGAUUUUCUAUUUGUACGAUAGAAAAAAAAAUAACACGAAUCAACUUACAAAAAUUAAUAUGGGCAUGAUGCGAUUGAUAUGUUCUUGUGGAUGAGUCCAAAAUUUUUAAUUAUAAGAUUUAUGUGCGAAAAUAACUAGGAUGGAAAGAUAAGGUGUGAUAAUUUUUCUUUAUAUUACAGUACAGUUAUUUAGAUGUUAAAAAUUUGAUCGAUAAAGAAUUUCACGGUAUUCAUACAAUUCGUUUUUUUUUGUCAAAAAAAAAAAAUUGUAAAAAAAGCGAAUUGUACAUAGUAAUAAAUUUUAUUUUUCUCCGUUGAAGAUCAGUGUGUUUCUUCCGUUAUUAAAAAAAAAAAUAAAAUGUAUAUAUUGUAAUACAUAAUGUAUAUUAUUCAUUAAUGAGAUUUUUUAACGAGGUAUCAAUUUAAAGAGACUAAUGAAUAAUUACAUGAAGAGACACACAGUUCUUCACAAGAAUGUAAUGAACUCGCGCAAAUGAAAUUUAUAAAAAAAAUUCAUCAAUAUUACCAAAUACGUACAGCAUUAAUUUAAUUUUAGAUAAUACAAAAUUUUUUUUAAAUUGCGUGAUAAAAAAUUUUUUUUUCUAAAAUGGUUGGUGGUAUAGAAUAGUUCAUGUUUUUUAAUUUUAUUAUAUUUUAAGACGGAAUUUAAUGUGUACAGAGAUAAAAGAGAUGUUAAUUUAUUCACAUUUUUCAAAUGAACAAGUCAGUUUAUGGGAAAUAUGCGAAAAUGUGUACAUUUAUUUUUCUAAUUGUGUCUUCUGCACAAAAAGACAUAGUUAUUUAAAUCAAAAACAACAAGAAUAUUACAAGUCAACGAUUGAUAAAAUGUUUAAAAAAAAUACAAAAAAAAAAUCAGAAACAAUCGUGUAUAUUCUUGAUUGAAUUGAAAAUUCGUCAAUCGAUUUAUGAUUAUUAAAAAUAAAAAAAUAAAUAUCUUGGUGAUUUAAAUUUAUAUAGUGCAUGAAUUUUCUCUAUAAUAGGUUUCAAAAUAUAAGUGAAUAUCGUCACGUAAUCAGGGAAAAAAAAUUAGCAAAAAAUCUAAAUUUUUUAUGGCUCUAAUGACGAGUUUUCUUAUGAGAUAAAACAAAUAAAAUGUACCAAUAGAAUUAACAUCAAUCGCAUUAUAUAGUUAUCAUUUUACUUAAAUGUGCUCGAAAUGAAACACUGAAUGAUUGGAAUGUUCAAUAGCGUGAUAAAAGAAAAAAUUAAUUUUAGAUAUAAUGAUAAUAAAUCAAUGAAACAUGAGAUCAUAAGAUAAGAAGGAAAAGAUGAAUAUAAAAAAUAUGAAAGUAACAAUUAUGUUAUUAACUACCAUCAACACAAAAUCAAGUGCUUUCUAUUGAGCGUUCCGUAUUAUUAUUAUUAUGAUUACGAUUAUUAUUCUUAUUAUUAUAUACUGAUUCAAUUAGAAGUGUAAUAAGGAAACCAGUAAAUUGUAGGUGAUAAAUAUUUCGCAGGAGCGAUCGUAGUCUGAAAAACAUUGAAAAAACAAAAAAUACAAAAAAAAACAAUAUUUAUUCAAUUUGAACAAAAAUGACUGGAUCUGUAAUUGUUAUUUUACACAUAUGUGAAACAAAAGGAUGGUCUUUAAUCUUUGUAUUGGAAAUAACCCCCGUUUUUAAUUCAAGAGGAGUAAGAAGAGAAAAAUGUGGAAGAAAUCGAAUCAUAGAUUAAAAUGCAAUUAAUAAACGUCGAACCGAAGAAUCUGGUGCUGUUUUUACUUCGAAAUAUUGGAGUUUUUAUUUAAUGGAUAAAUCAGAAGAAAAACUUGAAAAUUAUUAUAGAAUUAUUCAACAAUACAGUGGAAUAAUCGAAUUAUAUUGGAUUAGAAUUAAACAUCUAAUUGGAUGAGAAGUUUACAACAUAGAAGAAAAACACAUACUCACGUGCAAAGCAUUUAUAAACCGUCCUUAUCUUCAUUAGCUAUCAAGCAAAUAGAUUAAUUUUAAAAUACGCCAAAUUAUAAAUACGGGCCAGUUAAAAUAAUAUAGUUAUUUCUGUUUUAUUUUUAUUAUAUGUAUUCAAGUAACCAGUGAUUAUGGAAAUUGGGUGUGGAAUAUCAAAAAACAAAAUUGACAACGGGAACAUAAAAUUAUUUCUGAAUUAUUACAACGAUUGGAACAAUUUUAAAAAAUAUUUUUUAAUUCUGAAUGGCUCGAAUUUACUACAGAAAAAAUUGUCUAUCAUUGUAUUUCAUUUAAUUUGACUGUAUUCUUUUUAAUUGUAUUGUUCAAAACAUUGUAUCCCGUUUUUUUUUUCUUAUUGGCAAUAAUUUUUAGGGCCCUUUUCAGGGCCCGCAAAUAGUUCACUCUGUGGAACACUUUAUCAAGUUCUAAAAAUGUUCUUUUAAGAACAAGAAAAAACUCUAAAACUGUCCUUUUAAGGACUAUACAACAUAAAACUUUAGCAUGUCUUCCAUUUUGUUUCGGAAGUUUAUGGAAGACAGGUAGAAUCUACUUUACUGAGGAUAAUUGUCGGAAAUUCAGCAUGGGAUCAAUACCUAACUUUAUGAAAGCAACCUUGAGGGAUUUACGAGAUUAUGACUGAGCUAUUGUCAAGGUGAUAAUUAACGGCUGUGAGGACCAGUAGGAUGCACGCAUCUUUUACAUUCCUAAAUAUAAGGAUAACUAUGUACAGAUAUUUAUUUGCAAUGGAGCGAAAGACUUUACUUCAGUAUUCUUAGAAUAGGAGUUCAUAAGGAUAUUUCUUCAUUACUUUGUUGGAUUUUCCAUGGAGUCAGUUGAAGAUGAUGAUACUAGAAUAAUUUAAGCAUAUUUUGUUAUCUAUUUAUACAAAUUUUAUUUUCAAUGAUUUUUAUAAUAUUCCAAGAAAAUAGAAAAUAAGUCUUUUUAGUUGAUGUGAUUGAAAUACUUGUAGCAUUAAAGUUUUUAGACUGAUAAGCACACUUCCUUUGGUAUUUUCCAUACUUCUAUAUUGCUAUGUAUGUCAGAUAGAACAAUUGCGUCUCUAAACAACAAAUAAAAAUGAAUUUAUAGAUA
rnacentral:lncRNA from 1 species